rnacentral:rRNA from 2 species
UACGUAGGGACCAAGCGUUGUUCGGAUUUACUGGGCGUAAAGGGCGCGUAGGCGGCGUGUCAAGUCAAUUGUGAAAUCUCCGAGCUUAACUCGGAACGGUCAAUUGAUACUGAUGUGCUAGAGUGCAGAAGGGGCAAUCGGAAUUCUUGGUGUAGCGGUGAAAUGCGUAGAUAUCAAGAGGAACACCUGAGGUGAAGACGGGUUGCUGGGCUGACACUGACGCUGAGGCGCGAAAGCUAGGGUAGCAAACGGG